UCGUCAUCUUCGGCCUGCAGGUUAGUGCUGACACGCUGUCCUUUGGCGACU
rnacentral:precursor_RNA from 1 species